GAUGAACGCUGGCGGCGUGCUUAACACAUGCAAGUCGAACGGACAGGCCCUGCUUUUGUUGGGUGCUCGAGUGGCGAACGGGUGAGUAACACGUGAGGAACCUGUCCUUGACUUUGGGAGAACUUCUGGAAACACGGGCUAUUACCGCAUAUGAGCUCCUGCUCCAUGUGGGUGGUUGGAAAGAUACGGUGGUUGGGGCUGGACUAGCGGCUUAUCAGCUUGUUUGUCUGGUAGUGACUGACCAAGCUUUCGACGGAUAGCCUGCCUGAGAGGGUGACCGGCCACAUUAGGACUGAGAUAGGGACCAGACUCCUACGGGAGGCAGCAGGGGGGAAUAUUGCACAAUGGGCGGGAGCGUGAUGCGGCAACGCCGCGUGCGGGAAGACGGCCUUCGGGUUGAAAACAGCUUUGGCCUGAGACGAAGCGUGAGUGACGGUAAUGGGUAAAGAAGCACCGGCUAACUACGUG
rnacentral:rRNA from 1 species